rnacentral:rRNA from 1 species
CCUGCCUUUAAGACGUGGAUAACAAUUGGAAACAGUUGCUAAGACUGGAUAGGAAAUUAAGAGGCAUCUUUUAAUUUUUAAAAGACCUUUUUCGAAAGGUAUGCUUAAAGAGGGGCUUGCGCCACAUUAGUUAGUUGGUAAGGUAAAGGCUUACCAAGACGAUGAUGUGUAGCUGGACUGAGAGGUCGAACAGCCACAUUGGGACUGAGACACGGCCCAAACUCCUACGGGAGGCAGCAGUAAGGAAUUUUUGGCAAUGGAGGAAACUCUGACCGAGCGACGCCGCGUGAACAAUGAAGUACUUCGGUAUGUAAAGUUCUUUUAUUGAAAAAGAAAAAAUAGUGGAAAAACUAUCUUGACAUUAUUCAAUGAAUAAGCCCCGGCUAAUUAUGUGCCAGCAGCCGCGGUAAUACAUAAGGGGCGAGCGUUAUCCGGAAUUAUUGGGCGUAAAGGGUGCGUAGGCGGUUUGAUAAGUCUAUAGUUUAAAUGCAGUGCUUAACGCUGUAGCGCUAUAGAAACUGUCUGACUAGAGUUAGAUAGAGGCAAGCGGAAUUCCAUGUGUAGCGGUAAAAUGCGUAAAUAUAUGGAGGAACACCAGAGGCGUAGGCGGCUUGCUGGGUCUUAACUGACGCUGAGGCACGAAAGCGUGGGGAGCAAACAGGAUUAGAUACCCUGGUAGUCCACGCCGUAAACGAUGAGUACUAAGUGUCGGGUUUCGGCUCGGUACUGAAGUUAACACAUUAAGUACUCCGCCUGAGUAGUACGUACGCAAGUAUGAAACUUAAAGGAAUUGACGGGACCCCGCACAAGCGGUGGAUCAUGUUGUUUAAUUCGAAGAUACACGAAAAACCUUACCAGGUCUUGACAUAAUUUUGCGACAUUAUAGAAAUAUAAUGAAGGUUAUCAGAAUUACAGGUGGUGCAUGGUUGUCGUCAGCUCGUGUCGUGAGAUGUUAGGUUAAGUCCUAAAACGAGCGCAACCCUUGUCGUUAGUUGCGACCACGUAAUGGUGAGCACUUUAGCGAGACUGCCAAUGAAAAAUUGGAGGAAGGUGAGGAUUACGUCAAAUCAUCAUGCCCCUUAUGAUCUGGGCUACAAACGUGAUACAAUGGCUGUUACAAAGAGUAGCUACAACGUGAGUUUUUAGCCAAUCUCAAAAAAACAGUCUCAGUUCGGAUUGAAGUCUGCAACUCGACUUCAUGAAGUUGGAAUCGCUAGUAAUCGCGAAUCAGCAUGUCGCGGUGAAUACGUUCUCGGGGUUUGUACACACCGCCCGUCAAACCACGAAAGUUGAUAAUACCCGAAAGCGGUCGCCUAACUUCGUCAGAAGAGGGAGCCGUCUAAGGUAGGAUCGAUGAUUGGGGUUAAGUCGUAACAAGGUAUCCCUACCGGAAGGUGGGG